GAUGAAGAACGUAGCGAAAUGCGAUAAGUAAUGUGAAUUGCAGAAUUUAGUGAAUCAUCGAAUCUUUGAACGCACAUUGCGCCCCCUGGUAUUCCGGGGGGCAUGCCUGUCCGAGCGUCAUUGCUGCCCUCAAGCACGGCUUGUGUGUUGGGCCUCCGUCCUCCUCCCGGGGGACGGGCCCGAAAGGCAGCGGCGGCACCGCGUCCGGUCCUCGAGCGUAUGGGGCUUCGUCACCCGCUCUUGUAGGCCCGGCCGGCGCUUGCCGACACAUCAAUCUUUUUUCCAGGUUGACCUCGGAUCAGGUAGGGAUACCCGCUGAACUUAAGCAUAUCAAUAAGCGGAGGA
rnacentral:misc_RNA from 1 species